rnacentral:rRNA from 1 species
AAACUGUGGUCUAAUACCGGAUAGGAGCGUCCACCGCAUGGUGGGUGUUGGAAAGAUUUAUCGGUUUUGGAUGGACUCGCGGCCUAUCAGCUUGUUGGUGAGGUAAUGGCUCACCAAGGCGACGACGGGUAGCCGGCCUGAGAGGGUGACCGGCCACACUGGGACUGAGACACGGCCCAAACUCCUACGGGAGGCAGCAGUGGGGAAUAUUGCACAAUGGGCGAAAGCCUGAUGCAGCGACGCCGCGUGAGGGAUGACGGCCUUCGGGUUGUAAACCUCUUUCAGUAGGGAAGAAGCGAAAGUGACGGUACCUGCAGAAGAAGCACCGGCUAACUACGUGCCAGCAGCCGCGGUAAUACGUAGGGUGCGAGCGUUAUCCGGAAUUAUUGGGCGUAAAGAGCUCGUAGGCGGUUUGUCGCGUCUGUCGUGAAAGUCCGGGGCUUAACCCCGGAUCUGCGGUGGGUACGGGCAGACUAGAGUGCAGUAGGGGAGACUGGAAUUCCUGGUGUAGCGGUGGAAUGCGCAGAUAUCAGGAGGAACACCGAUGGCGAAGGCAGGUCUCUGGGCUGUAACUGACGCUGAGGAGCGAAAGCAUGGGGAGCGAACAGGAUUAGAUACCCUGGUAGUCCAUGCCGUAAACGUUGGGCACUAGGUGUGGGGGACCAUUCCACGGUUUCCGCGCCGCAGCUAACGCAUUAAGUGCCCCGCCUGGGGAGUACG